ensembl:lncRNA
CCACCACAUUCAGUCACCAGGUCUAGUAUUUUCUGAUAGAUUAGUUACACAAACUGAUAAUUACCACAGAAGUAAUUUCAGAAACAAAGAUUCACUUAAACCACAAAUGUACACAUUGGUAGGGAUCGUAAAACCCUGAAACACAUGACUCGUCUCUUAAUUCAUUAACAUAAACACACUGUAAGCAUUCUGGUCAGCAAACCCCCAGGAAACACAUGACUCUCUCUCUCUCUCUCUCUCUCUCUCUCUCUCUCUCUCUCUAACACACCCACACACACGCACGCACACCCACACACCCACAUACACACACACUUCAGACACUGUCACCAGAGCUCAUAAAUGUAAAAUUUACACUAUCUACAGAACUGUCACCCCGGGAAAACACAUGUGUAGGACAGUGUGUAUAGGCCUACAAGACAUCGCCCGAAAAAUGUGUCUGUUAGUUUAAACAAAACUCUCGAUUCUUUUAAGCAACACUUUAAACAUUUUACAUCCUAAAGGGUUAGGUUUAGAAGGCAUGUAAUACGUGCGUUUCUUAUAAAACACCAUCUUUAAAAUGUUUACCUCCUAAAGGGACCUAUUUAGAAGAGUGUUAGGGGACCUGUAGACUGAACAAAUACUAAGGACAUUACAAUCAGAAACCUGCUUGUCUGACCUCCUCAGCCUCCGACACAGGCCUGUCCUUGUUCUAGCUUAUCUAAAGGAUCAUGAGCUACAUUUCUUAGUUUGUCAUUUUCAGUGACUUCUGCAAAAAGUUGACAUGAAUGCACUUCAUGAUGAUGAUAGUGAUGAUGAUGUCCCACAUUGAGGCCAACUAUGUUCUUUGGCGAUACUGCAGAUUGAAUCACUCUCUGCAAGAACAGAUUUAGCAAGACAACAACACACCCAAAACCACACCCAAAUAUUUACACAUACACUGAAAUGCCAGGCAGCAUUUUAAAAGGUAGAUAAAUGAAAAAAAAAAUGACAAAAAUGAUAAGAAUGCCGAAAUGCACUUCAUAACAGAUUACAGUGUAGCCCAUAUAUAGCACAUAGAGCAGCUUUUACUGCUUGGUCAUAAGGUGUUGAUUAAUUUUCCAUAACAGCAGGUCUGACAGUAGUAAUGUAUUCUUUCUAAUAAUAUCAUAUUAUCACAUUAUCAUUUCUAUAGUACAGCUCAAAAAUCGUUGAUAUGGUGAAGUUUUCUAACCUAAAGGGAGAUGAUUGGAUAACAUUUAUAACAUUUCUCUGUAACAUGAAAAGUUGUUUUAAUUUUUUUUUUUUUUUAAACUAACUUCAAGUGAGGAGAAAAAGAGGCUGUUGAAGGAACGACUCUUUAUAGCUGCUAUAACAUAUAAGAACAAGAACUAACUUGUUUUGUGGACAUUCCACAACAUUAAAUGUAACUAUAAAUGGAUAUAAAGUGUGACAUGUCUGUUCUUUAAUAAAUAAAAAGUGCUAUGAGGAAUAAAACACUUCAGGACGUCCAAGACUUCUGGUAUCAUGAAGCCAAAAAGCACCUACUUGUAGGCCACAAGUUUCUACUCCUGCCACACUGAGACUGAUAUAGUUGAUACUGCCUUCCUAAAGUCUAAAAGUUCCAGUUGUUCCGGUUACAAGUUACUGGUAGGCCACAAGUUCCUUCUUCUGCCAUCCUGAGGCUGAGAAAAGUUCAUACUCCUGCCAUCCUGAAACCCACAAGCACCUAUGCCUGCCAUCCUGAAGUCUACAUGUUCUUGCUUCAGCAAUCAUGUAGCUAAAAUGCAUCUACUUGUAGGCCACAAGCUCCUCCAGCUGCAAUGCUAAG